rnacentral:lncRNA from 1 species
GAUUUUUAACUCUUCUUCUUUCUAUGAUUUUCAAAGGAUUCAAAAUAACUACAAAGCAUAGCAUGGUGCCUUUUGUGUAUAUGAAAAAGCAAAUCUGGUUCUAGGGCUUAAUGUUUGUUACUUGAGUCUGACAAUAGACAAUCUUGCCUUGGGCUAUGCCAGUAACGACAGGAGACCAGGCGCCGAGUCUUCAGAGCUCAACCUUGCUGGCAUCUGUUCCUCUGAGAGAGAGAAGUUGAGAGGGGAGGAGAGCAAGUUCCCACAAACCUUAAAGAGAAACAUCUGUUGCAGCUUGUGUGCUGAGUUCAGCAGGGGAGAAGCCAACCCAGGACCAGGUAAGAGUGUUUCCAUGCCACACCUCAGAUGAAAAAGUAUGAGAGAAAUUUACUCCUGACUUCUCUCUGCCCAACUUCUUCAAAUGGGAAGAGCACUGACUGAUCGGAUUGCCAGCAUUGGGAUGAGGAACUGAGCAUGCUCAGCUUUGCCUUUUCUGGGUUUUUCUCAUGUAGCUCUGGCUGCCAACACCUACGGUACACUCUGGUCUGCUGGUCACUAUGUGGAGCCUAUGGUUGUCCUUCUUUUUGAGUGCCUGGUUGGAUAAAUCUGACCAAUUUGUCUAGGGGCAGAUAUUGAUAAGCCCAUUAGGCUUCAGAUCUGACAUUGCAUUUUUCAAUCAGCUUGAUCAGUAACCUAUAGACAUUUUGAUCUUCAUUUGUUCGCCUCCUAUGUCUCCUCAUUUGGUUCCAUAUUUGGG